AUACGGAGGGUCCGAGCGUUAAUCGGAAUUACUGGGCGUAAAGCGCGCGUAGGCGGCUAUAUAAGUCAGAUGUGAAAUCCCUGGGCUCAACCUAGGAACUGCAUUUGAAACUGUAUGGCUAGAGUAUGGUAGAGGUGAGUGGAAUUUCAGGUGUAGCGGUGAAAUGCGUAGAGAUCUGAAGGAACAUCAGUGGCGAAGGCGACUCACUGGGCCAUUACUGACGCUGAGGUGCGAAAGCGUGGGUAGCAAACAGAAUUAGAAACCCUUGUAGUCC
rnacentral:rRNA from 1 species